rnacentral:sRNA from 1 species
CGAUGCUGCCUUUCUUGGACGUUUCCUCCCUAAACUCGGGCGACACCUUCGGGCGCCGCCCUUCUUUUUGCCCGCG